rnacentral:rRNA from 1 species
UAGGGAAUCUUGCACAAUGGGGGCAACCCUGAUGCAGCGACGCCGCGUGAGCGAUGAAGCCCUUCGGGGCGUAAAGCUCUUUCGGCAGGGACGAUAAUGACGGUACCUGCAGAAGAAGCUGCGGCUAACUACGUGCCAGCAGCCGCGGUAAUACGUAGGCAGCAAGCGUUGUUCGGAAUUACUGGGCGUAAGCGUUCGUAGGCGGUUGGCUAAGUUUGGUGUGAAAUCUCCCGGCUCAACUGGGAGGGUGCGCCGGAAACUGGCCGGCUAGAGUGCGGGAGAGGGAAGUGGAAUUCCUGGUGUAGCGGUGAAAUGCGUAGAUAUCAGGAGGAACACCUGUGGUGUAGACGGCUUCCUGGACCGUGACUGACGCUGAGGCACGAAAGCGUGGGGAGCAAACA